GACGCCCAACAGCUAGCCCACCCAAACAAUAACAACAAAUCAACAUCAAUACCCCCUAAUACACGAGAGUUUUUAGUAAACAAAUCAUUUUUCCCCCUUAGUAUGGGCGACAGAAAAGGACCAAAAGAGCAAUAGAGAAAGUACCGCAAGGGAACGCUGAAAGAGAAGUGAAAUAACCCAGUGAAGCCUAAAAAAGCAGAGAUUUUAACUCGUACCUUUUGCAUCAUGAUUUAGCCAGUGUAACCCAAGCAAAGAGUGCUUUAGUUUGACAACCCGAAACUAAGUGAGCUACUCCAAGACAGCCUAUUAAUAGGGCAAACCCGUCUCUGUGGCAAAAGAGUGGGAAGAACUUUGAGUAGAGGUGACAGACCUACCGAACCUAGUUAUAGCUGGUUGCCCGAGAAUUGGAUAGAAGUUCAGCCCCUCGGAUUCUUUUUUCAUCUCAGUCUAACCCCCUCUGAUACCUAUGAGAAACCGUGAGAGUUAUUCAAAGGGGGUACAGCCCCUUUGAAACAAGACACAACUUUACCAGGUGGGUAAAGAUCAUA
rnacentral:rRNA from 1 species